rnacentral:rRNA from 1 species
GGAAUAUUGGACAAUGGGCGAAAGCCUGAUCCAGCGAUGCCGCGUGUGUGAAGAAGGCCUGCGGGUUGUAAAGCACUUUCGGUGGGGAAGAAAGGUCAGGGGCUAAUACCUCCUGCCCGUGACGUUACCCACAGAAGAAUCACCGGCUAACUCCGUGCCAGCCGCCGCGGUAAUACGGAGGGUGCGAGCGUUAAUCGGAAUUACUGGGCGUAAAGCGCGCGUAGGCGGUUCGGUAAGGCGGGUGUGAAAGCCCUGGGCUCAACCCGGGAAUUGCAUUCGAUACUGUCGAACUAGAGUGUGGUAGAGGGAAGUGGAAUUUCCGGUGUAGCGGUGAAAUGCGUAGAUAUCGGAAGGAACAUCAGUGGCGAAGGCGGCUUCCUGGACCAACACUGACGCUGAGGUGCGAAAGCGUGGGGAGCAAAC